rnacentral:rRNA from 1 species
CCCUUAGAUGUUCUGGGCCGCACGCGCGCUACACUGAUUCAUGCAACAAGUUUUGUCCUUGGCUGAUAGGUCUGGGUAAUCUUUGAACGUGAAUCGUGAUGGGGAUAGAUGAUUGCAAUUAUUCAUCUUCAACGAGGAAUUCCUAGUAAACGCAAGUCAUCAGCUUGCAUUGAUUACGUCCCUGCCCUUUGUACACACCGCCCGUCGCACCUACCGAUUGAAUGGUCCGGUGAAAUCUUCGGAUCUGAGAGAUGUCUGAUUAAUUUCGGACGCCUUUUGGAAAAGUUGCUUAAACCUUACCAUUUAGAGGAAGGUGAAGUCGUANCA